UCUAUGUUGUCCUACUGUUCUACAGUCCAAUACCUUUGGCAGUAGAGAUAAAACGUAAGACAAAUAGUAGCAGUGAACAAUGGGAGACCUGGCAACAGUUUGCCAGUGAUUGUCAGAGCUAUUUUAAUGCAGUAGACAAUGGACCACUGCCAACCCCUACUUCCACCAACUGUCUGAAGAUCAACAAAGAUGAACCAGAGUAUUCGAAAGGGAACAUAACAUUCAAUAUAUUGAAUCCUGAACCAGUUCCUCGACCUGGGUACAACGAUUUUUACAACACCCCAGAGCUGUUUGGUUUUGUGAAGGCCAGCCAAGUACAUGUACGUUUACGCGAUCACUCCUUCAUCACCAAUGAGAGACACAAAUACUAUGGACUGUAUGAAUACAGUGUAAUUGCUAGAUGUGAAUGUCAUGGUCAUGCAGCCACAUGUGACCAUACUGAUCUACCAUACCAGUGUUAUUGUUUAUCUGAGAGCCACACUCAGGGUAGGCAG